UACAGAGGUCCCAAGCGUUGUUCGGAUUCAUUGCGCGUAAAGGGUGCGUAGGCGGCGCGGUAAGUCGGGUGUGAAAUCUCGGAGCUUAACUCCGAAACUGCAUUCGAUACUGCCGUGCUUGAGGACUGGAGAGGAGACUGGAAUUUACGGUGUAGCGGUGAAAUGCGUAGAUAUCGUAAGGAAGACCAGUGGCGAAGGCGGGUCUCUGGACAGUUCCUGACGCUGAGGCACGAAGGCUAGGGGAGCAAACGGG
rnacentral:rRNA from 1 species